CCUACGGGUGGCAGCAGUGGGGGAUAUUGCACAAUGGGGGAAACCCUGAUGCAGCGACGCCGCGUGGGUGAAGAAGUAUUUCGGUAUGUAAAGCCCUAUCAGCAGGGAAGAAAGAAGACGGUACCUGACUAAGAAGCCCCGGCUAACUACGUGCCAGCAGCCGCGGUAAUACGUAGGGGGCGAGCGUUAUCCGGAUUCACUGGGUGUAAAGGGAGCGUAGACGGCCGUGCAAGCCAGGAGUGAAAGCCCGGGGCCCAACCCCGGGACUGCUCUUGGAACUGUGCGGCUGGAGUGCGGGAGGGGCAGGCGGAAGUCCUGGUGUAGCGGUGAAAUGCGUAGAUAUCAGGAGGAACACCGGCGGCGAAGGCGGCCUGCUGGACCGCGACUGACGUUGAGGCUCGAAAGCGUGGGGAGCGAACAGGAUUAGAUACCCCUGUAGUC
rnacentral:rRNA from 1 species